ensembl:lncRNA
AAGAGCAGCAUAAUUCUAUUUUUGCAAAAGUAUACUACAGGUAUAAAAGUAUUUGUAAAUGAUAAGAAGUAAAUAACAAAUUGCUGAAAUGCACUCUAGGAAACCAACGGCAAUCGGUUGAAAAUUACUUUUCUUUUUAUUGUUUUAAAAUUAGCUGAUAAAAUGCUACUUAAAAAUUAUCUUGUGGUGGACAAUUGUCUCUCAAUUCCACCCUUGCAUUGGAAAGAGUAACAUUUAUUGAUUUAGUCUACAAUGGGGCUAAAGGCGUAUAUAUAAGUACUCGAAAGAUGUAAAAAAAAUGUCCAAAAGCCAUAACACAGAUGGCCCAGUGGCCAAUCUUUGCAUCCCACUGCUCUGUUUUCAUUCCUCCCUUUUGGUGAUAAUGUAUUGUCUACAGGGUGUGUAAUGAUCCUCCAGAGCAGUCGUCUACCACUAACAGGCACUUCUGUCAAACACAUUACCAUCGCUGUGCUCAUUGAUUUGUGUUGUCUUUAAAAUAGGUUGUUUCAUCCAGUUGGGUGCAGUCGUAAUUGUAUCUUGCCUAAAUGAUUCAAAUAAGGCGGUCUACCGCUCUUAUUUCCAUUUCCCCUCCCUGCACUGUCAUUGUCACCCUCACUUAUUUCAUUACGGAUUCAGUAGACUUGAUAAAACAGCAGGGGUGCCCCAUUCUACAGCGCUUAGCCAGCCCGGCCGAGACAAAGAAGUGGUCAAGCGGGGAAACAAAUCACACCAAAUGGACCGUUUGCUCUUUGUGCAGCCUAGUUAUGGAAAACUGAUAGCCACAUUCAGAAUACUGAAUAGGUGUAAUAAAUGCUGAAGAAGGGGGAAUCUUUUGCUAAUUGGGUAGAGGGGAGGAGGCGGGGGGGGUGUAAAAGAAACGGCGUUCCCCUUUUUGUAUCUAAAAAUAAGUUCUGUGAAAUACUCUAAUAGCCUGUACACAGUUAAAAGGGGCAGUGCAAUCACCCCACUUCGCCCCUCCUUCUCCUCAAAGCCAUCCCAUCCUGUCUUUGGGCUGACAGAUAAACAUUCUCUGCUUGCUAAUUGCAAUGUUUUUACCCGGUCUCAAGUGACAGGCUGGCAAUGUCUACGUGGAGCCUCAGAUCGUACUCUUGGGGGACCAUUUCUGGUCAAUUCGCAUGAAUUGCAUCAUUCGCAUGGAGAAAGUGGAGGAUAAUGUAUCUUGAAGCACACUGUGUAACUUUGUGAAUGAUUGGAUGAGUUUACAGUUAAACAGGCAUUGUAGGAUUAACUAACAUGACAAAUGCAGCAGGAAUUAUGACAGCACCUGUUUAAUGAUAUCAUCGUCAACAAGAGAAAAAAAGCAAGAAAAACAAUUUAGGAACUCCUCUUCCAACUACAAUAAAGAUGGUCACAUUCAAUCUCUGGCCAUGUCCAUCAAUAUACAUAUGGUUCUUGUAAGUAUUCCAUGGAGGUACCUUUGUCUGAAUGGACUUCAAGCGGUCAUAAAACAUGCAGGCCCCUAGCUGGACACUGCCUCCCGCCAAUCAGAUGAAUAAUAGUACAAAGGGCUGCUAAAUUAUUGAGACAGCUGCUGUGCUCUGGUCCAGCACAACGCUGCUAACAGAUCAGUGCAGAUGAUAUACGAGGCAUUGAGGCCCGCCACCCUCCAGACGAAGCAUUGGCUCGCUUUCUCAGGGAGCAGUCAAAACUCAGGAAGACGUUCAACCCUAGUGUCUGUGGGGUAGAAAAAAGUAAAAACCCACUGCAUAAUAGAAGUGGGACACUGUUUCGAUGAAUCAGAAAUUCUUAGAAGGGUCUGAUCUAUCUUUUUUGACAUGCGAGAGUAGACUAGUGGACAAACUGUCCUCUUUUCUCAGACCAAUGAUGAUGGGCGGGGGGCGGGGGAGGGGGAUAUGGCUGUCUCACACUAUUGAGGAAGUGACCCACAUAUGGGGCAAGGUCAUUGCAAAUCAAUUUAAUUUGGAUUACAGCUAGGAGAGUGAGCUGUAGCUUGGAGAGAGCGGAAGAGAAAGCAUGUUGUUUAAGUAAAACCCUCAAGAACAUUAUGAUUUAUUUAAGUGAGGAGAAAAUAUGAAUUAUGUAUUGGCUAUAUGGAGCAUGCAUCUCUUUUGUACUAAUUGUCAGGAAGGCUUGUAUCCAGUGUGUGAGGGGUGGAGGGGCUGCAGGACCCAGAGAUCACAGGGGCGCUGUGGCUCAAAGCCGCCGGUCCUACAGCUACAGCCAUUGACUUGCAAAUGAGCUGAAGGAGGCUAAUUAAUGGGGGGGCUAAUGAAAGCAGUAGUUGGGCUCAAGUGAAGAAAUAAUCUGGGACCCCCGUUUCACUUCCUCCCUCUUUAUAUGAUAUUCUAGCUCUCUCCCUCUUCCACCAUUCCAGGGCUUGAUCGUCUUCUCUUUUCCCACAAGAAGGCUGGUGCCAUUGAAGUUGAUUGCAGAACGCAUCAAUAUGUGAACAAAGUUGUUGGUGGUGGGGUGCAGUGGUGACUCGGGCUUGUGAUGGGGGGUGUUCGUAAAAUUAGCAUCCAUUUGAAGCGACCCCCUCUCUGUUAUUUAUUCUGUAGCUUUUGGCACAUUUUCUGGUUCUCGACUCCCAGGAGGAGAGAUGGAGGGAGAUGGAGCAGGGUGUUUAAGAUGUGUGACGGGCUGUAAUGGGAACUUUUGCACUUUUUCUUUCUUGUUUGCACCGGAGAGAGUAAAGCAGCAGUGAAAAGGAGAAGUCACCCUCUCCUCCUGAUUGAAUUGUUUGAAGGGUGGAGGAGGAGGCUCGUAUCAGAUACCAUGCCCUGCAGUUGUUUCACUUUGAAGCAGUGUGACUCUCCUCAGUCCAGUGGAACUCCCUUUGACUACCAACACUACAACUACAACUGUUGUGGCAAGUACAUAAAAAAAGAAAGAAACUGCCUCUAUCCAGCAGUGUCUCCGACAAAAUCACGUUCCGAGGGAGUAUAAAACAGUUUGAAACAUUUGGUUAACAUUGUAAAUUCAAACUAAACAUAAACACUUCAACUCAACUACAUGGCUAUGUUAAAGCUACAAAAUAUUGAGUUAAUGUGGUAUUACAGCAGUCCCCAGGAGGAAAGCCCUCUGUUUUGUGAGCCAUCAAAAAACCUGCCAUUAAAAACAGUACAGUAGUGUAACUGCAUAUGUUAUUAUAAAUACUAAAAUAAUGUUUUAUGAAUUUGAAUAUUGGUCUGUCGCCAUACUUUUUGGGGUGUAAAAGCCCAAUAGCCCAAUGAAUAGGGGUGAAUUAUAUUUUAAGCGUCGGCUCACUUGACGUUUCUGUGGAUGCCGGCCCAUAUGGCUGCAGUGUUUGACUGGCUCAAGCAGCCAAACACGUUAUCAUAAAUUAGCUGAAAGCUUGUGCCACUGCACACCUCCAAGUUUAGCUUCUAGGUUGCAUUAUAAUGGAUUUCUUUAAGUUACAAACAUCCUAUGUCUCCUUUCCAUAUUGGUCAGAGCCUAGGAUCCACGUCACUGUUUCCCCGACCAAUAAAAGAGUCUGGAUUUAAAAAAAAGAUAUAUAUAAAAAAAUAUGUAUAUAGACCCUCAAACAUUUAAUCUUCAUUAAAUCAUUUUCUCUGUUCAAAAAACAACAUUAAAUAAAAAUGUUCCAAUAACAGAAUAUGAUUAUAAAUAAAUACAGACAAAUAUUGUAUUCAUUUUUGUAUUAGAUCUGCCCAUUUGCAAGUUUGGUUGCCUGCUUUGCACAGCUUUGUUGCUUUAAACUUACAUUUUUUCUACCAAUCCUACCUUCCUUGAAAAAUGUUAGUUAGGUUAGCUCCAAAAAAAGGGUACAAAGAAAAAAUAAAUACUUUCUGUUUUAGAAUGCACACCAAUUAAUCAUGUCAGUCACUCUGAAUUAAGGUGACCUAAUCUAAAGUUUUUUAUUUUGAACAGAAAAUACUAAUGCACUGUAGCUCCUUUCCCUGACUCCAUGCAGAUUCUCUAGUGGUUCUCCUCUUCACAGUGUUUCCUGGCUCCUGUGUUACUGGGUCAUUGGACUGGUAUAGACCUCCGACCUGAAAUGCCUCCCUGCAGCUCUCGCUCCCUCUCUCCAGGCAGAGUGGAGACCCCUAGGGGUACCGUUUGGUGUGCGCUGGGAACAUCCGCCAUCUCAGACCUGAUGGCCUAAGGCCCCCAGUCUGCCGUGAUGCCAAGUACCAAAUAGUGACUCCAGAAUGGUUGCCAUUUGUCAUAUAUGCUGCCUGGGACCUGCCUAAAACAGUGGAAACACAGAGAGCAGGAACAAUGAAACUUCCUCCCUCGUCUAUUGCCACAGACAUUGAUCUUCACUGCAACAAUUUAUUAUAUCACAUCUGCUAUGGCUAUUACAGCAUGCUAUUUGAUGCGUUUACUAAAAAUAUAGCAACAUCAGAGGCAACAGAAAGCCACAUUUUAUGUACUGUAUUAACAUGUUUAUCUAUAAAUACCUCUAAGGCUGUGCAGCAACAGAACAUCUCACAACCAUUGAACUUAACUCAAUCUACAUUUUCAGGAAGCAUUGAUCUAUGCUGUUAUCCUUUUGAAUAAUCCAUUCUUAUUUGACGCUAUUGAUAGAUGGCAGCAUGUGUGCUGGGAGAAAAGAAUGAGAAUGAGAAUAUGACAAAGUUGCAUAAGAAGAUUUUGGCCCCUUUGGUAGCAUGGCUAUUAUAUUAUAACUUUGUGUUUAGCAACAUUAGCAUCAUUUUGUAAUUGUCUUUUCCAACGGGCUGACGAAAAACAACCAACUCAUUGGAAAAAUGGUCACGGGAGAAGGGUAGAUGUUAAAAGAAAAGUUGUGGACUAAACAAUGUGCCUGUAUCCCGACUCCAGUUAUUAUUGUGUGUUAAGGGUUCAGAAAACCCUCAAAUGAGGCCUCACUCUUUUGUUCUCGUCCCGGUCGGAAAUGAAGAAUUGAAAGAGUCAACUUGCUCAUUUAAAAAUCUAAAAAUAUUUAAUAACUGAACAAAGUGAUAAGGAAUACAGUUAAAGUGAAAUACAAUGCGAACAGUGGAAUAUUUCGCAAAAUAGAGAAUUCUCUGACCAAGUCUGAAGUGACUUUUCAAAGCGGCUGCAAGAGAAUUCUAACAGUCCUUUCCCUCGGGUGUAGUAGUCGUUGCGGGCGGAACGACCGACGGGGGGGGUAGUAGUCGCGUGCUCUGUGUUCGCUGGUCGUGCACGGUAAAAUGACAAGAAAAACGCCUGGUGACGCGUAGAUUAGAAAACAAGUCAGUUCUCAAUGUGAAAAAAACAUAGGUAGUACAUGAGUGUUCCUUUAACUUAUGUUGUCAGUGUAAUUGACAGGCUGCUUAACUGGUUGACUCUUAAAUUCAACAUAUUUUUUCAGGCAGUGAGAGGACAGGCAAUGAUGCAGAGAGCACAGGGAGAGGAGAAACAC